AGGAAUCUAACUCAAUACACCCCAGAGAUACUAACACAUCUAUGUUGAUUGCAUCACUAUUUACAAUAGCCAAAAUAUGUAAUCAGUUUAGAUGUUAGAUAAGUAAGAAAGAUUCAGCCAUAAAGAACAGAGUUAUGUCAUUAGCAUGAAACAUGUAGUAAUCUGGAAAUUAUCAUUGUAUUAAUUAUUGUUCGUUUUUCUGUGACAAAACAGCAGGACCAAAAUCAGCUUAUGGAGGAAAGAAUUCUAUUUCAGUUUAUGGUCUAGAGGACUAGAACCUGUGAUGGUGGAGGAGGCAUGAAAGCAGCUAGCCAGAGCAAAAAGCUGGACAAUCGCAUCCUCAACCACACACAGGAAAGCAAGGUGAUGAAGAUGUUGAUAAUGGAGAAGGACGUGUUUCACAUAUGGAUGCAAUUAAAGAUCUUACUGAAGAUUUGAAGCUAAUAUGAAGAAGGAAGUAGGACCAAUUACAUGAAAUAGAAGAUUUUUUAAUGCUGAAUAAAACUGUAUCCCAGGAAAAACACAAGCACUUCUUCUUCAGAAAUUAAAAAAUUAUCUCUUA
rnacentral:lncRNA from 1 species